rnacentral:rRNA from 1 species
CUACGGGCGGCUCCAGUGGGGAAUAUUGCACAAUGGAGGAAACUCUGAUGCAGCAACGCCGCGUGGAGGAUGACACUUUUCGGAGCGUAAACUCCUUUUAUAUAGGAAGAAGAUGACGGUACUAUAUGAAUAAGCGCCGGCUAACUCCGUGCCAGCAGCCGCGGUAAUACGGAGGGCGCAAGCGUUACUCGGAAUCACUGGGCGUAAAGAGCGUGUAGGCGGAUUAAAAAGUCAGAAGUGAAAUCCUAUAGCUUAACUAUAGAACUGCUUCUGAAACUCUUAAUCUAGAAUAUGGGAGAGGUAGAUGGAAUUUCUGGUGUAGGGGUAAAAUCCGUAGAGAUCAGGAGGAACAUCGGUGGCGAAGGCGGCUUCCUGGACCAAUACUGACGCUGAGGCGCGAAGGCGUGGGGAGCAAACAGGAUUAGAUACCCUGGUAGUC